UUUAACGAGGAAAAAUUUAUUUCCUUUUUCUUUUAAUUUUCUUUUUCCUUGUUUUUUUUGUUUUUCUCCCGCGUGCUUCCCUCUUUCUCCCCCUGCCGAACCUGUCGUCGUGCACCAAAACCUCCACGCGCCUUCUCUUCCCCUCACGUGUGCCCUAACCGGCGCCACAAACCGCCACCGCCUCCCUCUCCUCUGCCCGAUGUCGACGACGCUAGGGGACAUAGAGCCGGCGGCUGAGCUUCUCCUUUCCUCUCCCUCUUCCUGUGCCCUAGCGACGAGCACCGGCCACCGCCCUGAGCCCUAGAUCCGUCUCCUCCUUUCCAACCGACGCCGCAACAACUGCCGCACGACGCGGUUUAAACCUUCUCCUAUCUAUUUGCUUCUUUCCCUUUCCUUACCGAGCCCUAACUGUCCUUAUGUUGGCUCUGCCCAACACCGGUGGACACUGCCUGAUGUCGUGCCGCUGUUGAUCAGUGUCGUGGGUGCCGGGAGAAGGAGUAUCGACAAAGGGUUUUGGCCAAUUUUUUUUCCCUUUGCUUGGGGAGUCGAGCAGAGAGGUGGAUCUUGCAUCGGAAGGGUCCAUGAUCUCUUUCUCUUCAUUGAUUUGGAUUUGGGAAUGUGAGAAGCUUGAUUUGUUGUGGCUAUGUUUCUUCAGCGGAGGAGGGAAAGAAGGAGAUUAUUAAGGACUGUGAUUCGAGAUUUGGCGUCUCGACAUCGGAUUGGUUUGAUUCGAUCUAUAUCGGA